CGUCUAUAUACGUAUAGCAUAUCAAUAAGCGGAGGAAAAGGAACUAACAAGGAUUCCCUCAGUAACGGCGAGUGAAGCGGGAAGAGCUCAAAUUUGAAAUCUUCAAGGUUUUACCUUGACGAAUUGUAGUUUAAAGAAGUGUUUUCUGUUGGAGUUUUGGUAAAAGUUCUUUGGAAAUAGGACAUCAUAGAGGGUGAGAAUCCCGUAUUUGACCAUUAUUUCCAGCUGUGUGAUACACUUUCAAAGAGUCGGAUUGUUUGGGAAUGUAGUCCAAAAUGGGUGGUAAAUUUCAUCUAAAGCUAAAUACUGGCGAGAGACCGAUAGCGAACAAGUACCGUGAGGGAAAGAUGAAAAGAACUUUGAAAAGAGAGUUAAACAGUACGUGAAAUUGUCAAAAGGGAAGCGUUUGACACCAGUGUUGUUUUCUCGAAAAUCAAUUGAAAAUGGCGGGAUUUUGUGUUGUAUUGACUUUAUCAGCUUUCUGCACUUUUUUCCUGUCUUUUUUAAUGCACUUUUCGUUUAACAAGUCAACAUCAAUUUCUUUUGUUGUAAAAGGGUCAUUGGAAGGUGGCUUUCUUUUCGGAGAAAGUGCUUAUAGCCUUUGGCUUCUGCAAUCGGAGAGAUUGAGGUCUGCAGCGUAGAUCCUUCGGGGUUAGAUACAUUUGUGCUAAGUUAUAGCCUUUCAUAGACAACUUGUUGACUAUGAUCAGUCAUGUAGCCUACUCGCUUAUGCUAUUUUACCUACGCUUAGGAUGUUGACGAUCAGCUGAGCGCG
rnacentral:rRNA from 1 species